UCAUUGGUGCAUUGUUAAGAA
ensembl:piRNA 21ur-1629 ncRNA